rnacentral:rRNA from 1 species
UUAAAUGAAUUGACGGGGGCCCGCACAAGCGAGGAACAUGUGGUUUAAUUCGAUGAUACGCGAGGAACCUUACCUGGGCUUAAAUGGGAGUGACAGCUGUCGAAAGAUGGUUUUCUUCGGACACUCUUCAAGGUGCUGCAUGGUUGUCGUCAGCUCGUGCCGUGAGGUGUCGGGUUAAGUCCCAUAACGAGCGCAACCCUUACCGUUAGUUACCAUCAGGUUAAGCUGGGGACUCUAGCGGGACUGCCACCGUAAGGUGAGAGGAAGUGGGGAUGACGUCAAAUCAGCACGGCCCUUAUGUCCAGGGCUACACACGUGUUACAAUGGCCGGUACAAAGGGCAGCUACUUCGCGAGAAGAUGCUAAUCUCGAAAGCCGGUCUCAGUUCGGAUCGAAGUCUGCAACCCGACUUCGUGAAGCUGGAUUCGCUAGUAAUCGCGCAUCAGCCAUGGCGCGGUGAAUACGUUCCCGGGCCUU